rnacentral:rRNA from 1 species
UGGGGAAUUUUGGACAAUGGGGGCAACCCUGAUCCAGCCAUGCCGCGUGAGUGAAGAAGGCCUUCGGGUUGUAAAGCUCUUUUGGCGGGAACGAAAUCGCGUUCGUGAACAACGGGCGUGGAUGACGGUACUCGCAGAAUAAGCACCGGCUAACUACGUGCCAGCAGCCGCGGUAAUACGUAGGGUGCGAGCGUUAAUCGGAAUUACUGGGCGUAAAGCGUGCGCAGGCGGCCGCGUAAGCCAGAGGUGAAAUCCCCGGGCUCAACCUGGGAAUGGCCUUUGGGACUGCGUGGCUCGAGUGCGGCAGAGGGGGGUGGAAUUCCUGGUGUAGCAGUGAAAUGCGUAGAUAUCAGGAGGAACACCGAUGGCGAAGGCAGCCCCCUGGGCCAGCACUGACGCUCAUGCACGAAAGCGUGGGGAGCAAACAGGAUUAGAUACCCUGGUAGCCCACGCCCUAAACGAUGACGACUAGUUGUUGGGGGAGCAAUCCCUUAGUAACGUAGCUAACGCGUGAAGUCGUCCGCCUGGGGAGUACGGUCGCAAGAUUA